CUGAGGUUAAAUUAGUAAUAUAGGAGGGACAGAGUGGGGGUUGGUUUAAUACUCAGUGUAGCUCCCAGGUGGGGUUCACAGCACAACCCCACCAACAGCGGUGUUGGCAGGACCCCGGGCAGCAGAGGGUACGCGCUGAAUCUUGGCCCCAGGUGCUCAGCCAUGGAGGGAAUUCCCAGUCCUCAGCUGGUCCCUGCCAGCUGGCAUUUCCAUGCAAGAUGAGAGGGAGAUCCCCCCAAGGAAACGAGAUGUUUUCACAAGCUGUGAGGUCUCUGGAUCCCACUGCCCCCCACAAUGGGAAGGGACGUGUGAGGAGCUGAGGCACCACUUGGAGCAAGGAUCCAGAGUAUCCUCUUGCCAGCUCCUGCAUAACUUUCUGGGAAACUGAACUCUUCUGGCGAGCAGAAGAUCUCCUAGUUUGUCAGCUUACAAGUCCAUGGAGGAGAAAUAGCAUUGGCUCAUCAUUUCUGGGGCAGUUUCCAGUGGUCUAUGAAAAUCACAGCUAUCACAGAGCACAGGGUUCGAGUCACCUCAUUUUAGCUGUGUAAAAUGGGAUUCCUCAUCUAAACUACUCAUUUUCCCACACCAUCAGAAGACAAGUCACCCCUCUUCUCUGGGACACCAGCUGGGAUAGGUGAAUCACCCUCUGGAUGUGCCUGUGUCUGUUUGUGGGCUGUGGAGAGUACCUGCAUGUCGAGUUCAGACUGGAUGUGAACUUCUACUCAGCCAAAUUUAAACGAGUCUUGCCCAUAGUGCUGGCAUCUCCC
rnacentral:lncRNA from 12 species